rnacentral:rRNA from 1 species
UUGACCUCGGAUCAGGUAGGAAUACCCGCUGAACUUAAGCAUAUCAAUAAGCGGAGGAAAAGAAACCAACUGGGAUUGCCUUAGUAACGGCGAGUGAAGCGGCAACAGCUCAAAUUUGAAAUCUGGCCCUCGCGGGUCCGAGUUGUAAUUUGGAGAGGAUGUUUUGGGCACCGCGGCGGUGUAAAUUUCUUGGAACAGGAUGUCAAAGAGGGUGAGAAUCCCGUCUUAAACCGCCGUAGGACCCGCGUAAAACUCCUUCGACGAGUCGACUUGUUUGGGAAUGCAGGUCAAAAUGGGUGGUAAAUUUCAUCUAAAGCUAAAUAUUGGCCAGAGACCGAUAGCGCACAAGUAGAGUGAUCGAAAGAUGAAAAGCACUUUGAAAAGAGAGUUAAACAGUAUGUGAAAUUGUUGAAAGGGAAGCGCUGGCAACCAGACUCGCGCGCGGGGUUCCCCCUGGCUUCUGCCUGGGUUACUUCCCCGCGUCCGGGCCAUCAUCAGUUUUGGGGGCCGGUUAAAGGUCUCGGGAAAGUAUCCUCCCCUUCGGGAGAGGACUUAUAGCCCGGGGCGUCAUGCGGCCUCCCGGGACUGAGGAACGCGCUUCGGCGAGGAUGAUGGCGUAAUGGUUGUCAGCGACCCGUCUUGAAACACGGACCAAGGAGUCUAACAUCUAUGCGAGUGUUCGGGUGUCAAACCCUGGCGCGGAAUGAAAGUGAACGGAGGUAGGAAGGCCUGAGCCUGCACUAUCGACCGAUCCUGAUGUCUUCGGAUGGAUUUGAGUAAGAGCAUAGCUGUUGGGACCCGAAAGAUGGUGAACUAUGCGUGAAUAGGGUGAAGCCAGAGGAAACUCUGGUGGAGGCUCGCAGCGGUUCUGACGUGCAAAUCGAUCGUCAAAUUUGCGUAUAGGGGCG